GGGCGUGCCAGUGCUGGAGGAUAAAUAGAGGCGCGCGCGCGGUGGGAGGGAGGGGCUUGGGUACUGGCCGUGCCCCUCGGCUCUGCUUGGCGGGAGGGUUAACGGGUGCGGCUGAGGCGCUGCGCUGGCUGGGGCUUCGCGCUGCGGGCCGAGAUACCCUUACCUGUCCCGCAAGUCCCGGGCGAGUCACGUUCAGCGACGGCUCCUCCCUUUUGACGGGGGAAAUAAGAGUCCGUCUAAAGCCAGGCUGCAAGAUGCUCAAAAUUUUUGGCAUUUGGACAGCUUCCUUAGCUAGCAAGCAACCCGGAAAUAGUGCUGCAUCAUCAAGCAAGUGUGCAUCUUUUUUCAGUGUACCUUGUGUCAUAGCAACUGCUACCAAGGCAGAUAAAGAAUGA
rnacentral:lncRNA from 1 species